rnacentral:lncRNA from 1 species
AUUUCUCCCUGACUAGGAGGGAGUCCCCCGACCCGUUCUUUCCCUCCUGGACGUGCUAGGCAAACAGCCCAAGCAGAAGGACCUCAGCAAAGGGGGCCAAGGAAGAUGCAUCUGCUCACCAUGGGGCUUGCUGUGGAUGUCAUGAAGAGGCUUGGCAACGUUGAAGACAGUAAAGCAUGCUUUCCUGGAAAAAACAAUGCUGGAUUAAGGACUAAAACAUGGUCACUUUUUUCACCACAAGGAAGACCUGUCCUUAUUAAAAAUGUACCGACUUCAAACACAUGGAAGAGAGUCUGAGAAUGUUUUGAGUAGGAAUGUUGCUGCAGGUAAAUUAUGGGCUAAGAAAUCAGCUGACUGAGUCGACCGUAUGGAUUUUCCCAGGUCACAUUACUUUUCCAUUUGUAUUCUCAGUCGCUUUUGAACACCCUUCAUGCAAGUCAGCAUAUCAAAAGAUGAUUUUAUACAAGGAUUACCGAUUUCAAAUAAAUAAAGAACCAAAGAAAUAGAUUUCAAUUGCAUCCAGACUGGUUGGAGAUAAAAUGAGGAGUGCUGCAACUCGCUGGGCCAGCACAAACAGGAGCCCUGGGAGCGCCCUCCUCUAAGAUCAAUGAAGUGAGAAUAGGCCCCAGUAAAGCAGUGGAGAAAACUGUCUUCCUGAGCCCCCUCUAGCCCAAGGAUUCCAGCUAUUCUUUGCACUCAGCCCCCAUGGGGUUAAUGAUGAAUAAUUACAAACAAUGAAGACAUUUAAGACUGAAGACUAAGCCAUGAUUUGCUGUUCUCUGCCUGUUCACCCGCAACUAUUUCUAAUCUCACUAUUUCCUGAUGAGAACACACACUUAACCAGAUAUUCUACUUCAUUUUCGGAAAAUCUCUUCAAGUUGCUUUGGAUGAGCUGAGGAAAUGACGUCAUCACCCCUUGCUGGCUGCAGGAGUGACUGAGCCCUUGGGUUUGGGUGGGGCUGGGCUGCUGGUUAACGCAGAAGGUGUGACGCUGCCGAGAGAACUGGACCACAGAACCGCUCUGUUCUCCAAGUCA